GAUGAACGCUGGCGGCGUGCCUAAUACAUGCAAGUCGAGCGAACAGACGAGGAGCUUGCUCCUCUGACGUUAGCGGCGGACGGGUGAGUAACACGUGGAUAACCUACCUAUAAGACUGGGAUAACUUCGGGAAACCGGAGCUAAUACCGGAUAAUAUAUUGAACCGCAUGGUUCAAUAGUGAAAGACGGUUUUGCUGUCACUUAUAGAUGGAUCCGCGCCGCAUUAGCUAGUUGGUAAGGUAACGGCUUACCAAGGCAACGAUGCGUAGCCGACCUGAGAGGGGGAUCGGCCACACUGGAACUGAGACACGGUCCAGACUCCUACGGGAGGCAGCAGUAGGGAAUCUUCCGCAAUGGGCGAAAGCCUGACGGAGCAACGCCGCGUGAGUGAUGAAGGUCUUCGGAUCGUAAUACUCUGUUAUUAGGGAAGAACAAAUGUGUAAGUAACUAUGCACGUCUUGACGGUACCUAAUCAGAAAGCCACGGCUAACUACGUG
rnacentral:rRNA from 1 species